rnacentral:rRNA from 1 species
GACGAACGCUGGCGGCGUGCCUAAUACAUGCAAGUAGAACGCUGAAGGAGGAGCUUGCUUCUCCGGAUGAGUUGCGAACGGGUGAGUAACGCGUAGGUAACCUGCCUUGUAUCGGGGGAUAACUAUUGGAAACGAUAGCUAAUACCGCAUAACAGUAGAUGUUGCAUGACAUUUGCUUAAAAGUUGCAAUUGCAUCACUACCAGAUGGACCUGCGUUGUAUUAGCUAGUUGGUGAGGUAACGGCUCACCAAGGCGACGAUACAUAGCCGACCUGAGAGGGUGAUCGGCCACAAUGGGAAUGAGACACGGCCCAGACUCCUUCGGGAGGGAGCAGUAGGGAAUCUUCGGCAAUGGACGGAAGUCUGACCGAGCAACGCCGCGUGAGUGAAGAAGGUUUUCGGAUCGUAAAGCUCUGUUGUAAGAGAAGAAAGAGUGUGAGAGUGGAAAGUUCACACUGUGACGGUAUCUUAACAGAAAGGGACGGCUAACUACGUG